rnacentral:rRNA from 1 species
CAGUAGCCGCGGUAAUACGAAGGGUGCAAGCGUUACUCGGAAUUACUGGGCGUAAAGCGUGCGUAGGUGGUGGUUUAAGUCUGCUGUGAAAGCCCUGGGCUCAACCUGGGAAUUGCAGUGGAUACUGGAUCACUAGAGUGUGGUAGAGGGAUGCGGAAUUUCUGGUGUAGCAGUGAAAUGCGUAGAGAUCAGAAGGAACAUCCGUGGCGAAGGCGGCAUCCUGGGCCAACACUGACACUGAGGCACGAAAGCGUGGGGAGUAAACAGGAUUAGAUACCCCAGUAGUCCCUGUCUCUUAUAC